CAGAUUGUUAUCGCUAGCAAGGACUCACUGAUCUCUGAUGUGGCUCUUGAUGGUGAUGCGAUGCAAAAUGGACAAAUCCAUCAUCGUUAGUCUACUACUGUUGGCUUCUUCUGAGCUACUAAUAUCAGAUCAGCGCUGAUUUGGGGAGUAAAGCUCUUCGAGCAAGUGACAAAAAUCAAGUCUUCUGAGCAUCUCAAAGAUGGUGACCUGAAGUCGUUUGACUGGCAGCUUAAAAGCAAUUAAAGUGCACAGAGAAAUCAAACUUUUAAAGCCACUCUUGCCAUUUGUGGACUGUUCCUGCUUGUUGGUGACUGCUUUUGCGAGUAUGUUCACUCUCAUCUACUCCCUUCGUUCCAAAAUAGAUGACUCUACUUUGUAUUAACUUUAGUACAAAGUUACAAAGUUGAGUCAUCUAUUUUGGAACGGAGGGAGUAGCAAUGAAAUAUUUUGUCUCUGUUGCGCAGCCGCUGAAAGGGCAAACUCCAGAUCCUAGAUAUCUGUGGGUUUUGGGUGCCCUCUGGGGUUACCUGAAUGUUCCUAUUUCUGUUUCUUCUUCCCUUCUUAGUUUUCUUUAUGAUGUAGAUGAACAAUUGGUUUGUGUUAAUAGAAUUCAGAGAGGAGGCUCUCUUUUAGAAAA